UACAGAGACUUCAAGCGUUAUCCGGUUUCACUGGGCGUAAAGCGUUCCGAUAGGUGGAUAAGUGUGUUUAUAGUUAAAGACCGAGGCUUAACCUCGUGUAUGCUAUGAAAACUGCUUAUCUAGAAGAGCAAAGAGGUAGCUGGAACUCUACAUGUAGGGGUAAAAUCCGUUGAUAUGUAGGGGAACACCGAAAGCGAAGGCAGGCUACUAGGUGCUUCUUGACACUGCUAGGACGAAAGCGUGGGGAGAGAAUGGGAUUAGAUACCCCAGUAUUCCACGCCCUAAACGAUGAGUGCUUGCUUUUAGUUCGUUCAAUCCGAAUUAGAGGCAAAAGCUAACGCUAUAAGCACUCCGCCUGUAUAGUACGGUCGCAAGACUAAAACACAAAGGAAUUGACGGGAACCCGCACAAGCAGUGGAUCAUGUGGCUUAAUUCGAUAGUAAGCGAGGAACCUCACCUAGGCUUGACAUGUUAGUGAAAGUGGUAUGAAAGUAUCACCCUCUUCGGACUCUAACACAGGUGAUGCACGGUCGUCGUCAGCUCGUGGCGUGAGCUGUUCGGUUAAGUCCGGUAACGAGCGCAACCCUAAUACUUAGUUAUUUAAUGUCUAAGUAGACUGCAGGAGCUUAAUCCUGAGGAAGGAUAGGAUGACGUCAGAUCAGCGUGUCCUUUAUGGCUAGGGCAGCACACAUGAUACAAUGGGAAGGGUACAACAGGACAGCCAAGGAGUAAUCCGGAGCAAAUCCCCUAAAACCCCCCUCAGUACGGAUUGGAGUCUGCAGCCCGACUCCAUGAAGCUGGAAUUGCUAGUAAUCGCUAAUCAGCCUCGUAGCGGUGAAUACGUUCUCGGGUU
rnacentral:rRNA from 1 species